rnacentral:other from 1 species
CACCCCCUGCGGUGUGCGUCAGCGGCCUGGGUAUAUUCUUGAGCCUAAUCCUUACCCAGGGGAUGCGAGUGUGUGCAGCCAGUGUGCAAGUCCGCCGCCGAGCGGAAAGCCUUAAGGCCACGCCGACCGUCCCCCCUUGAACCUCGCGGUUCAAGAACAAAGGCAGGCAGCGCCACCAGCGGGGGGUGU